GACGAACGCUGGCGGCGUGCUUAACACAUGCCAGUCGAACGGAAAGGCCCUGCUUUUGUGGGGUGCUCGAGUGGCGAACGGGUGAGUAACACGUGAGUAACCUGCCCUUGACUUUGGGAUAACUUCAGGAAACUGGGGCUAAUACCGGAUAGGAGCUCCUGCUGCAUGGUGGGGGUUGGAAAGUUUCGGCGGUUGGGGAUGGACUCGCGGCUUAUCAGCUUGUUGGUGGGGUAGUGGCUUACCAAGGCUUUGACGGGUAGCCGGCCUGAGAGGGUGACCGGCCACAUUGGGACUGAGAUACGGCCCAGACUCCUACGGGAGGCAGCAGUGGGGAAUAUUGCACAAUGGGCGGGAGCCUGAUGCAGCAACGCCGCGUGCGGGAUGACGGCCUUCGGGUUGUAAACCGCUUUCGCCUGUGACGAAGCGUGAGUGACGGUAAUGGGUAAAGAAGCAACGGCUAACUACGUG
rnacentral:rRNA from 1 species